UUUAAUUGUCUCAAUUUUAAAAAAUGAACUUUAUUUCUUUAUUAAAAAGUUAAGAUUUAUUUAAGGGACGAGAAGACCCUAUAAAUCUUAACUUUUUAAUAAAGAAAUAAAGUUUAGUUGGGGCGACUGAUGAAAUAAUAAACUUCAUCAAAAUAAAAUUUUAAUUAAAAUUUUAUUUUGAGCAUUAACAAAAAUUAAUAAAACAAGUUACUUUAGGGAUAACAGCAUAAUUUUUUUUAAGAGUUCUUAUCAACAAAAAAGUUUGUGACCUCGAUGUUGGAUUAAAUUAAAUUUAAGAUGCAAAAAUCUUACAUUUACAGUCUGUUCGACUAAUAUUAUUUACGUGAUCUGAGUUCAGACCGGAG
rnacentral:rRNA from 1 species